GAGGUCUUUAUAAGAGAAGCCUGUUCCGCUGGUUCAGCAUGUGGUGAAGACCCAGGAUACAACACUGAGAUUAUGUUCCCCUUCACGUCUCCGAGGCUUUAUGAGACAGUGGGUGAAAACAAAAGAGCCUUAAACAGAUUUGAUGCAUUUUCCUCACUUCAGACAAUGUCCAUUCCUUACCCGUUAUUCUCUAGCCAAGAGCAAAAACAUACCAGCUCAUUCUUUCUUUGUGGACACUGUGGAAUUCAACUUGUAUCAAGACAGGGAAAGCAAGGAGCAGAAAGGCAAAGUGACGUGCCCAAGUCUCCAUGACGGAGCUAGGAUUUGGCCAAGCAAUCUGCAGGUACAAAACACAGUAAAGCCAACCAACAUUUGAAAGAGCAGAGAACAGGUGUUACAGCUGCCCGAUGAAGUCUUUUUCACACUCAGCAGAGGGUAAAGACUGCGUCUUCUGUAUCUCUAUGCUAGCCAGAACAUCGAGUGUCAUAGCAUGAGCAAACAUAAUGCUUACUGAAACGCAAAGGCUGUCUACUUUUGAAGUCUGUGUACGUACAUUUGUUCAUGCACUGGGGCACAUACAGGCUGCUAAACUUAUUAUUAUCCAAGAUUAAAAAAUAUAAAUGGAAACUGAACAACUUUGCUUCCAAGAGACCUUCCUCCCACCAACUGCAA